CCUACGGGUGGGCAGCAGUGAGGAAUAUUGGUCAAUGGGCGCGAGCCUGAACCAGCCAAGUCGCGUGAGGGAAGACGGUCCUAUGGAUUGUAAACCUCUUUUGUCGGGGAGCAAAAGACGCCACGCGUGGCGUUCCGAGAGUACCCGAAGAAAAAGCAUCGGCUAACUCCGUGCCAGCAGCCGCGGUAAUACGGAGGAUGCGAGCGUUAUCCGGAUUUAUUGGGUUUAAAGGGUGCGUAGGUGGUUUGACAAGUUAGUAGCGCAACUCCGGGGCUCAACUUCGGAACUACUACUAAAACUGUUGGACUUGAGUGCAGGAGGGGCAAUCGGAAUUCCUAGUGUAGCGGUGGAAUGCGUAGAUAUUAGGAGGAACACCAGUGGCGAAGGCGGAUUGCUAGACUGUAACUGACACUGAGGCACGAAAGCGUGGGGAGCAAACAGGAUUAGAUACCCUAGUAGUC
rnacentral:rRNA from 1 species